UGGGAGUGUGGCCAGGAAGGGCUUAUUUCCCUCCCUCCUCCGUGGUCACUCGGCUUCCUGCCACCACGCCACGAGCCUUGCCUCCUGGCCUUGCCUCUGCCAUGCUGCUUUGCCUCAGAGCCGGCUGACUGCGCGCUGAAAUCUACCGACUGCCAGCCAACAGGAAGGGCUCCUCCUUUCAGCUGUGGGUGUCCCAGAGGCAACAAGAAGUGUUGAAGAUGGAAAAAGGCAGAGGAGAAAAGGAGAGAAAUUAAUGCCCUUUACCGCAACAUUGGGAAGAAAUGAUAGGACAAAUGAGGCGAAGUGGGCCAGGCUCCUGUGUCCUCAGCUCCAAGGCCCUGUCCACCAGAGGAGCAAAAUGGCAGGCCUCUGCCCCCGUCAGGCCACAUUUAUGGAAGUUUCCCUGAAAAUAUGAUAUGCCCAGGCAGUGGUAGACACUGUCAGGCGGAGACCCCGGUGGGAAGAGGAAGCCAGAGAGGCCCCGGCUCUUACCUUCAGCAGCUUCAUCAGCCCC